rnacentral:rRNA from 1 species
AACGAACGCUGGCGGCAUGCCUAACACAUGCAAGUCGAACGAGACCUUCGGGUCUAGUGGCGCACGGGUGCGUAACGCGUGGGAACCUGCCCUUAGGUUCGGAAUAACUCCCCGAAAGGGGUGCUAAUACCGGAUAAUGUCUUCGGACCAAAGAUUUAUCGCCUUUGGAUGGGCCCGCGUUGGAUUAGCUAGUUGGUAGGGUAAAAGCCUACCAAGGCGACGAUCCGUAGCUGGUCUGAGAGGAUGAUCAGCCACACUGGGACUGAGACACGGCCCAGACUCCUACGGGAGGCAGCAGUGGGGAAUAUUGGACAAUGGGCGAAAGCCUGAUCCAGCAAUGCCGCGUGAGUGAUGAAGGCCUUAGGGUUGUAAAGCUCUUUUACCCGGGACGAUAAUGACAGUACCGGGAGAAUAAGCUCCGGCUAACUCCGUG